rnacentral:lncRNA from 1 species
GUGAGGGCCCAGUGUAUUUGUCCUAACUCGAGGCCAGAGACUGCACCCUUGAAUGUGACCCCCUUAUCUCACAAUGAAUACGCAGGAUUGGGGCUCGGCAUAGGGAAAAGAAGGAGGAUCGUUUGUGUCUUUCAUGACUACUGGACAAAAAUUUGAAGUGAUCAUAGAUUCCAGGGAUCUGCCAGGAAAGACAAUUCUCGAAGAGGUGCCAUCAAAGGUCUGAGGGUUGAGAGGCCAGUUCUACAGAGAGCUGGCUUGUCUUUUUAUGCAAAGAACUUUUACAGGUAUCAGUCUAUAUCAUCAUUAU